UAUUUACCAAACUGUUCCAAGACUCAAAACAACAGGCUGAUAUUGUGCUCAAUGUUCUCACCUGUCAGUCGUGUUGACUACUUUGCACUGAUGAGGUGCUCUUAAGAGACAUAAGUGCCUCUAAGCCUGCACUAACUGAUCCUAAGGACCUGGCCCUCUGGCUAUUACAUCUAUCUGACACUACCAUUUGACUGUGGAGUAGUUUUUCUGCAGAAUACUGAAUGGACUGCAAUAAUGUCCUUUCUUCACAAGAUGAACAUAUGCCUGGGAGUAUGUGGGCUCAAGUUCCCUCAAGCAGGACUCUUCUAUAGAGGUGAGUGCUCUGUUGAAGGAACAAUACUGUGAUGCUGUCACCUCUUUACACUAUUUUUCUUGUCCAAUGUCUAUUUUUUCUUGUCCAACAUACAACCAGUUGAUAUGUAUUUGAUCAGGCUCUGUCGGUCAAGUCAAUGGAAAACAUCUAGUUCUUAAAUCUUUACAUAAUUUGGGUGUGAGCUGAGUUUUCAGUUACUGGGCAGCACCAGGAGGCACAAUUAUGUGUGUGUAAACAGAGCCACCCAAUGAACUCUACCGUCAGAAAUGUAAACAUGUAAGGGAUUCAGUUAAUGUCAAAGUUUAUUGGAAACUGAGCAAAGAUUCUGAGACUUAACUGUUCUCCGAGGGUGGGAGUGUCAACCUGCUGGAGGGUGGGAAGGUUCUGCAAAGGGAUCUGGACAGGCUGGAUUAUGGGCUGAGGCCAGUUGUAUGAGGUUCAAUUAGACCAAGCACUGGGUCCUGCACUGUGGCCCCAACAACCCCAUGCAGUGCUACAGGCUGGGGGAAGAGCAGCUGAAAAAACCACUGAGCAGAAAAGGAUCUGAGGAUGUUGGUGAGCAGCAGCUGAAAAUGAGCCAGCAGUGUGCCCAGGUGGCCAAGAAAGCCAAUGGCAUCCUGGCCCGUAUCAGAAAUAUCUCUAUUUCUGAUACGGACUAGCAGGACAACGGAAAGGGAUUCUCCCCCUGUACUCAGC